UAGUCCACGCAGUAAACGAUGAGUGCUAGUUGUCGGGAUUUUUCUCGGUGGCGAAGCUAACGCGUUAAGCACUCCGCCUGGGGAGUACGGCCGCAAGGCUAAAACUCAAAGGAAUUGACGGGGACCCGCACAAGCAGUGGAGCAUGUGGUUUAAUUCGAUGAUACGCGAGAAACCUUACCAGCUCUUGAAUCCUGAUUACGAUUUUCAGAGAUGAAUUUUUCAGUUCGGCUGGAUCAGUGACAGGUGUUGCAUGGCUGUCGUCAGCUCGUGUCGUGAGAUGUUAGGUUAAGUCCUUUAACGAGCGCAACCCCUAUCCUUAGUUGCCAGCAAGUAAUGUUGGGGACUCUAGGGAAACUGCCUACGCAAGUAGGAGGAAGGUGGGGAUGACGUCAAAUCAUCAUGGCCUUUAUGUCCAGGGCUACACACGUGCUACAAUGGUAGGGACAAAGGGUUGCGACACUGUGAGGUGAAGCCAAUCCCAAAAACCCUAUCUCAGUUCGGAUUGG
rnacentral:rRNA from 1 species